AAUCGACAUGAAAGUAAGACGAGUACUUCUCUUUGCUGUUCCACCCAUUUUGCUUGUUUCCCCUUCUGUAGCUAACAGCUGUAAGUCAUAUUCGGAAGGUAGCUGUGGAAGAAAUGAUUGCAGAACAGAGCAAGACAAAACCACUGUGUCUUUUUACUCAUUCAUCUAGAAGAACUUUGCACUCCCACCUGCAGGAAGGACAUUUAUCUAUGAUGUAGUAGUGACCAACAACGGACAUGGAUACAGCAAGAAAACAGGAACCUUCACUGCCCCGCGGUCCGGGGUGUAUCUAUUUUUCUGGACUCUUGUGGCUGCUGGGCAACAUGUUGCGGGAACCAAGGGUGCCUUCGGGGAAAUAGCGACUCAUAUACUGCACAAUGAUAUAAUAAAGGGGACUGUUCAUGCUGAUACUGAAAAACAGGGAGAUGAUGGAACAUCCACAGGAUUUGUUAUAUUGAACCUGGAAAAGGACGAUGCCAUCAAAAUAUCAAGUGCCUGGAACGGACAAGGUUCUGCUUAUAGCAAUGAACAGUUUGGCAGAUGGUCAUUCUCUGGUUUUAAAAUAGCAUAAUUGUAGCACUAAUGAAUAAAAUGUUCCCAAAAAGUUCAAAGAAUAAAAUGAAUUUGAAUUG